rnacentral:rRNA from 1 species
AACGAACGCUGGCGGCAUGCCUAACACAUGCAAGUCGAACGAGACUUUCGGGUUUAGUGGCGCACGGGUGCGUAACGCGUGGGAACCUGCCCUUAGGUACGGAAUAACUCCCCGAAAGGGGAGUUAAUACCGGAUACUUUCUUCGGACCAAAGAUUUAUCGCCUUUGGAUGGGCCCGCGUUGGAUUAGCUAGUUGGUAGGGUAAAAGCCUACCAAGGCGACGAUCCAUAGCUGGUCUGAGAGGAUGAUCAGCCACACUGGGACUGAGACACGGCCCAGACUCCUACGGGAGGCAGCAGUGGGGAAUAUUGGACAAGGGGCGAAAGCCUGAUCCAGCAAUGCCGCGUGAGUGAUGAAGGCCUUAGGGUUGUAAAGCUCUUUUACCCGGGAUGAUAAUGACAGUACCGAGAGAAUAAGCUCCGGCUAACUCCGUG